UCUAGACCUAAUCACUUAAGAUUCAUGGGCCUCAGUUUCUUCCUCUGCAAAAAAAAAUUGGACUAAAUGGUCUCUAAGGUCCCUUGGAGCUCGAGAUUUAGUCACCUAAAAUCCUGGGGGCUCAGUUUCCUCCUCGGUAAAAAAACAAAAAAGGAGCUUGGAUUAAAUGGUCUCUGAGAUCCCUUUGAGUUCUACUUCUAGUCAUCUAAAAUCUUUGGGCCUCAGUUUCCUCCUCUGUAAAAAAAAAAAAAAAAGAGGUUGGACUAGACAGCCCUGAAGUCCCUUUUUAGCUCUAAACCUAGACAAUUAACAUCCCUAGACCUCAGUUUCCUCCUCCACAAAAAAAAAAAAAAAAAAUUAGGCAAAAUGGUUUCUGAGGUCUCUUUGAGCUCUAGACCUAGUCACUGAAGAUCCAUGGACCUCAGUUUUCUUUUCUGUAAAAAAAAAAAAAAAGAAGAAGGUUGGACUAAAUGGUCUCUGAGGUCUCUUUGAAUUCUAGAUCUAAUCACUCCAUAUCCAGAGAUAUGUUUCCUUCUCUGUUAAAAAAAAAAAAAAGAAGUUUAGACUAACUGGUCUCUGAAGUCUCUUUGACCUCUAAAGCUAGCCAUCUAAAAUAUUUGGGCCUCAGUUUCCUCCUUUGCAAAAAAAAAAAAAAAAUAGACGGUUGUACUAAAUGGUCUCUGAGAUCCCUUUGAGCUCUAGACCUAGUCACUUAAGAUCCAUGGGCCUCAGUUUCCUCCUUAAAAAAAUAAGAUGUUGUACUAAAUGGUCUCUGAGAUCUCUUUGAGCUCUAGACCUAGCCAUCUGAAAUCCUUGGGCCUCAGUUUCCUCCUCUGUAAAAAAAGGAGGUUGGAAUAAAUGGUCUCUGAGAUCCCUUUGAGCUCUAGACCUAGCCAUCUAAAAUUCUUGGGCCUCAGUUUGGUCCUCUGCAAAAAAAAAAAAAAAGGAGGUUGAAUGAGAUGGCCUCUGAAAUUCCUCUUUAGCUCUACACCUAGCCAUUUAACAUCCCUAGACCUCAGUUUCCUCCUCCAUAAAAAAGUUUAGACAAAUGGUCCCUGAGAUAUCUUUGAGCUCUAGACCUAGUCACUUAAGAUGCAUGGGCCUCAGUUUCCUCCUUAAAAAAAUAAGAUGUUGUACUAAAUGGUCUCUGAGAUCUCUUUGAGCUCUAGACCUAGCCAUCUGAAAUCCUUGGGCCUCAGUUUCCGCCUUUGUAAAAGAAAAAAAAUUUAGACUAAAUGGUCUCUGAGGUCUCCUUGAGCUCUAGACUAGCCACUUAACAUCCAUGGGCCUCAGUUUCCUUUUCUGUAAAGAAAAGAAAGAUUAGACUAAAAGGAUACUUUUUAGCUCUAGAAUUAGCCACUUCAGAUCCCUAGACCUCAGUUUCCUCCUUUGUAAAAAAAAAAAAAAAAAAAAAAGAUCACUUUAGAUCCCUGGAUUUCAGUUUUAUCCUCUGUAAAAAAAAAAAAAAAAAAAAAAAAGAAGUUUGGACUAGAUGAUCUCUGAAAUUCCUUUGAACUCUAAAUGUAGCCUCUUAAGAUCCCUUGACCUCAGUUUCCUCUUCUGUUAAAAAAAGAGAAGGUUAGAAUAGCUAGUCUCUGAAGUCCCUUUAAGUUCUAGACCUAGCCAUCUAAAAUACUUGGGUCUCAGUUUCCUUCUCUAUAAAAAAAAAAAAGAGAAGAUUAGAUUAGAUGGCUUCUGAAAUCCCUUUUUUAGCUUUAGACCUAGCCAUUUAACAUCCCUAGAUCUUAGUUUCCUCCUCCAUAAAGAAAGUUUAAGGCAAAUGGUCUCUGAGAUCUCUUUGAGCUCUAAACCUAGUCACUUAAGAGCCAUGUGCCUCAGUUUCCUUUUCUGUUUAAAAAAAAAAGGUUUAAUUAAAUGGUCUCUGAGGUCUCUUUGAGCUCUAGACUUAGCCAUCUAAAAUCCUUGGGCCUCAGUUUCCUCCUCUGUAAAAAAAAAGGAGGUUGGACUAAAUGGUCCCUGAGAUCCCUUUGAGCUCUAGACCUAGCCAUCUAAAAUUCUUGGGUCUCAGUUUCCUCCUCUGUAAAAAAAAAAAAAAAAAGGAGGUUGGAUGAGAUGGCCUUUGAAAUCCCUUUUUAGCUCUAGACUUAGCCAUCUAAAGUCCUUGGGCCUCAGUUUCCUCCUCUGUAAAAAAAAAAAAAAAAGAGGUUGGAAUAAAUGGUCUCUGAGAUCCCUUUGAGUUCUAGACCUAGCCAUCUAAAAUCCUUGGGCCUUAGUUUCCUCCUCUAUAAAAAAAAAAAAAAAAAAAAAAAAGGAAGUUGGACAAAAUGGCCUCUGAAAUCCCUUUUUAGCUCUAGACAUAGCCACAUAACAUCCCUAGACCUCAGUUUCUUCCACUAUAAAAAAGUUUAUGCUAAAUGGUCUCUGAGAUCGCUUUGAACUCUAGACUUAGCUAUCUAAAAUCCUUGGGCCUCACUUUCCUCCUCUGUAAAAGAAAAGGAGUUUUGACUAGAUGGCCUCUGAGGUCCCUUUGAGCUCUAAAUCUAAUCACUUAAGAUCUAUGAGCCUCAGUUUCUUUUUCUGUAUAAAAGAGUUUAGAAUAAUGGUCAUUGAGAUCCCUUUGAGCUCUAGACCCAAGCACUUAAAAUCCUUGGGUCUCAAUUUCUUCUUCUGUAAGAAAAAACAAAAGAAAGAAAGAAAGUUGGACUAGAUGGCCUCUGAGGUCUCUUUGAGCUCCAGACCUAGCCAUCUAAAAUCCUUGAACCUCAGGUUCCUCCACUGUAAAAGAAAAAGUUUAGACUAAAUGGUCUCUGAGGUCUCUUUGAGUUCUAGACCUAAUCACUCAGGAUCAGGAGACCUCAGUUUCCUCCUUUGUAAAAAAAAAUAUUUAGACAAAAUGGUCUCUGAAGUCUCUUUGACACUAGCCACUUAAGAUUCAUCAAAGGAAUAUUGGACUAAAUGAUCACUCAGAUUCUUUUUAACUCUAGACCUAGCCACGUAAAAUCCCUAGACCUCAGUUUCCUCCUCCAUAAAAAAAAGUUUAGGCUAAAUUCUCCCUGUGCAACAAGAGAACUGUUCGGUUCUGCAUAUAUAUAUAUUGUAUCUAGGAUAUACUGAAACAUAUUUAACAUAUAUAGGACUGCUUGCCAUCUAGGGGAGGGGGUGGAGGGAGGGAAGGGAAAAAUCGGAACAGAAGAGAGUGCAAGGGAUAAUGUUGUAAAAAAUUACCCUGGCAUGGGUUCUGUCAAUAAAAAGUUAUUAUAAAAUAAAAUAAUAAUAAUAAU